GUGCUGGGCUGCCAGUCUGGAGGCAGCAGGAGACACCUGCCUGAGCUGAAUGGGAAGGAAUGGCCAGAGAACAUAAACAGGCUGUAACCUGCAGUUUGCUUUCCAGCCUACAUUCACUGCUCCUGUGCACUGCUGAUAUUCUUCCUGCUGGACAUAGUCCAGGGAAACAAAGCCUCCAAAGAAGAAAUAAAUGUUUUAGCAUCAGGAUGAUUUAUUUUGAGGAAGCUUUCCUAUGCUCUAUCAAAAAGGAGUUAUGUUUCUAUGUGUGCUGCUCUCAAAUUUCAAAUACCCAUUUCUUCUUGUAAACUGUCAAGAUGGACAAGGCAAAGUAACCUGCUCUGAGAAAACUCAGUGCGCAGCCUUCAUUCCUGGGAAGUCUGAGGCCAUGCAGAUGAUCUGAGUGCUGCAGGAUUGUGAGGAUUCUGAAACAAAGGUUCUGAAUUGCUGUUGGAUGCACCAAGCUCCCAAAUGCUGGGAGGACAUUGUAGGUGUCAAAGAGAAUUCUGUUAUGCCAAAGUUGGUGCAGAUUUCUGUCAAUAAGGACAGAACAAAAUUUCUACCAAAUAAUAUAUGUAUUUUGCUGUUACAUCAUGUUUUGCUGUCUUCAUUAAACUUUAUGUGAUUGAUGUAAAUCAAUUUCUCUCCUUUCCUCAUUAUGAUGGCAUAG